GGGGAAUAUUGGACAAUGAGCGAAAGCCUGAUCCAGCCAUGCCGCGUGUGUGAAGAAGGUCUUCGGAUUGUAAAGCACUUUAAGUUGGGAGGAAGGGCAUUAACCUAAUACGUUAGUGUUUUGACGUUACCGACAGAAUAAGCACCGGCUAACUUCGUGCCAGCAGCCGCGGUAAUACGAAGGGUGCAAGCGUUAAUCGGAAUUACUGGGCGUAAAGCGCGCGUAGGUGGUUCGUUAAGUUGGAUGUGAAAGCCCCGGGCUCAACCUGGGAACUGCAUCCAAAACUGGCGAGCUAGAGUACGGUAGAGGGUGGUGGAAUUUCCUGUGUAGCGGUGAAAUGCGUAGAUAUAGGAAGGAACACCAGUGGCGAAGGCGACCACCUGGACUGAUACUGACACUGAGGUGCGAAAGCGUGGGGAGCAAAC
rnacentral:rRNA from 1 species